AUGGUGGCACUAAUAUGGUUCAGAGCCCUCUUAACGACUGUCUUGUUUUGGAAGGAAGUAAAAGUUGUAAUUUACAAUCCUGACAUCACCCAGAUGGUAUUUCAAAGGCCAGAUCUUUUUACUGUAAACCAGGAUGCAGCUAACAAGAAAGACUCCAGUAAGAAUCCUCAGCAUUGAUCAAGAAAGUCCACAGCUAAACCCAUCUAGAGUGGGAAUCAUCUUGGAAGAAAAUUUUGUAAUGGAUGAACUGACCGAUCUCAGGCUUUCUAUUUUUUAAUUUUUUAUUUUUUUCAGACUGAUUUAUGCCCUGCACCUGGACUAGGUGUAUGAAAAGCUCUUUAUAUUUUAUUCAGCAGGUAAUGCUCAACCUCGGAAAAAGUGAGUUUGCACCCAUAAUUUAGUACUGCCAAUAUUGUAAACUCAAGAGUGGAAUAAAACCAUAUAGUUCUGAUGCUGUUUGUUGUAA
ensembl:lncRNA